UACGAAGGGGGCUAGCGUUGUUCGGAAUUACUGGGCGUAAAGCGUAUGCAGGCGGACUUUUAAGUCGGGGGUGAAAUCCCGAGGCUCAACCUCGGAACUGCCUUCGAUACUGGAAGUCUUGAGUCCGGGAGAGGUGAGUGGAACUCCGAGUGUAGAGGUGAAAUUCGUAGAUAUUCGGAAGAACACCAGUGGCGAAGGCGGCUCACUGGCCCGGUACUGACGCUGAGAUACGAAAGCCAGGGUAGCGAACGGG
rnacentral:rRNA from 1 species